rnacentral:rRNA from 1 species
UCUACGGGAGGCUGCAGUGGGGAAUAUUGGACAAUGGGCGAAAGCCUGAUCCAGCCAUGCCGCGUGUGUGAAGAAGGCCUUCGGGUUGUAAAGCACUUUCAGUGGGGAAGAAAGCCUUGGGGCUAAUACCCUCGAGGAAGGACAUCACCCACAGAAGAAGCACCGGCUAACUCCGUGCCAGCAGCCGCGGUAAUACGGAGGGUGCGAGCGUUAAUCGGAAUUACUGGGCGUAAAGCGCGCGUAGGCGGUCUGAUAAGCCGGUUGUGAAAGCCCCGGGCUCAACCUGGGAACGGCAUCCGGAACUGUCAGGCUAGAGUGCAGGAGAGGAAGGUAGAAUUCCCGGUGUAGCGGUGAAAUGCGUAGAGAUCGGGAGGAAUACCAGUGGCGAAGGCGGCCUUCUGGACUGACACUGACGCUGAGGUGCGAAAGCGUGGGUAGCAAACAGGAUUAGAUACCCCGGUAGUC